UUCGUCACCCCCUCAACUCCCUGUCCUAGGCGAGGAGGCCGGCUUGGGUUGAGGGGCCCGAGCCAAGAGCGCGGAGAGCUCCGAGCGAGGAGGAAACGGCGUCGAGAGUGGUGGUAACGACGGCCUCAGCAGGCGGGGAAGAUGAAAGGUAGCCGGAUGGAGCUUGGAGAUGUAACUCCGCACAAUAUCCAACAGUGGAAGAGGUUAAACCAGGUCAUCUUUCCAGUCAGCUAUAAUGACAAGUUCUACAAGGCUGUGCUGGAGGUUGGCGAGCUAGCAAAACUUGCCUAUUUCAAUGAUAUUGCUGUAGGUGCAGUAUGCUGCAGGGUGGAUCAUUCACAGAAUCAGAAGAGACUUUACAUCAUGACACUAGGAUGUCUUGCACCUUACCGAAGGCUAGGAGUAGGAACUAAAAUGUUAAAUCAUGUGUUAAACAUCUGUGAGAAAGAUGGCACUUUUGACAACAUCUAUCUGCACGUGCAGAUCAGCAAUGAGUCAGCAAUUGAUUUCUACAGGAAGUUUGGCUUUGAAAUUAUUGAGACAAAGAAGAACUACUAUAAGAGGAUAGAACCUGCUGAUGCUCAUGUGCUUCAGAAAAACCUCAAAGUCCCCUCUGGCCGAGCCAAGUCACAGGCUGCCGGCAUAGAAACACGAGCAGCGCGGUGUUCUUGCCCGCGGGCUGCCGCGCGCGUCUGCUGGCGACCGACACCCCGCGCUGCGCUGCACGCCGCCGUCCUGUCCCGAGCCCACCGCGAGCGCGGCCGGCGCAACCCCGGCAGCCCAGGAGCGCCACCCGCCUGGCUGUGCCUGCGGCCGCUGGCUGAGGCAGAACUUCUCUUCCCGCCGCCCAGGCGGCCGGUGCACGGCGGCUGUCACGCGCAGGGCUGCUCCGAGGCCGCGGGCGCUCGCUCGCUCGCUCGCACCGGGCUGCAGGCGCGCGCAGGAUCCGGCCGCGUCGCUUUGCGCGUCCAGGUCCAGCGCCGCACAUGGCGCCUUUCGCUAGCUGCUAAGCUUUCGCGGUUCGUGGCAUUCAGAUUUGUAAGUGAAUCUUGA